UACGAAGGGUGCGAGCGUUGUUCGGAAUUACUGGGCGUAAAGGGUUCGUAGGCGGGAGAGUAAGUCAAGUGUGAAAUGUCCGGGCUUAACCUGGAACGUGCACUUGAAACUGCUCUUCUUGAGUACCAGAGAGGGCAGUGGAAUUGCUGGUGUAGGAGUGACAUCCGUAGAGAUCAGCAGGAACACCGGAGGCGAAGGCGACUGCCUGGCUGAGUACUGACGCUGAGGAACGAAAGCGUGGGGAGCAAACAG
rnacentral:rRNA from 1 species